rnacentral:misc_RNA from 1 species
GCGUUGUUUAGCUGCCUCCAAAGAAGUAUCUGUUUGCCACUGGAUAUCAUCAUCACCGUCAUCUUCAUCAUCAGCAAUCAAUUGGUCAUUUUCAUCAGCCUGGCUGUGAGCUGGCGAGUGAUCCUCAUCUGAGCCAUUGCCUUUCUUCUUUGAUGACGUACCUUUAGCACCAUCCCUAGAACUACCAGAGGUGCCUUUCUUCUUUGUUGUCUCCUUUUUGUUCUUCUUCUGCUCCUCAUC